GAGGGGCUUGGCCGGGGCCACCGCCGGGUCCCUCCCUCCCUCUGUCCCCCCGCCCGGCGGCGGGGCUGCCGCGGGGGCCGGCGGGGGCACGAUCCCUUAUGUAAUGCGGGGCUUGGAAGAGAGGUGAGAAAAUAAUAGAGAAGGGAAUGAAAGUGAAUCAGGUCCUCCACAUUUUUCUUUUGGACCAAGGACAAGAUCACCCUCUGCAUGGCAGGAAAGAGAAAGACACAUGGGAUGAUGGAGUUCCUUUACGCACACCUCUCCAAAACUUCAGUGCAGCAUAUUUUCCACAAAUGGAGUGACUAUGAGAGAAACCUUUUAAUUUUCUUUCUCUUUCUCACUCACAAUUUUGCUAAGUAAAGAAGAAAAUGUGGAUGUUAAAUACACAAUUUUGGAUAUAUGCUGGUUGAGGAUGAGGCUUAGAGGGGAAGAUGAAUAAGAUGGGGAGAGGAGGUUUGAAUGUGACUGACAGUGGAUUAUAACUGCCUACAGGAAGUUAUUUUUAUCAGAUCAGGUUUCCCUUUAACAUUGUCUUCAACCUAAAGAAUUUUGGUAUAAGAGCUUUUAAAAUCCCUGCCCAGUCGCAAGUCGUACAAGCAUGUGUUGAUGAGAUCUGAGGUCCUACAGAAAACACCAUUUAGGAUACAGUGAUAGCAUCCUCUAGCUUUCAUUGUUUGACAUCUCCACAGAUAGCUUACACACAGAAUACAAUGCACGCUUUUGAUUUAAUUUAUUUGCAGUAUCAUUUGAUCCCGGUCAAUAGUUCGACCCACUUAAAUAGCAAGCAGGGGAAAAAAUGAAACCAGUUUUGAGUAAGUCUUUCUCAGUCAAGUGGGUUGUCUGGCAAGCCAAGAGUAUAAUAAAUAGAUUUGGUGGCUAUUUACAGAUUCACACACUGGAAAACAGAGAGCUGUGUUUCACAGUUUCAUGAUAUAAUUCAGACAGUGUUGCAUCCAGAUAAUAAAAUUACACCUGUGUUUUUAUCUCAGCCAGAAAGGCAUUUUUUUUUGGCUUCUGCUUUGAUACUUUCCCAUAAAAAUAAACAUUACAACAGAAAAUUGAUGAAAUUUGUCACAUUGUGUGAAGAAAUAUUUAAGAAGACAUGUCUAAGUAUAUACAUAUACGUGUUAUCAUAGCUUUUGCCUUUAGUCGUGUUCUGUCUCCUUCAUAGUACGUAUACCUGGAAUAAUUUCAUGAGAACUCGUGGUUGGAGGUCUGGCUUGUUUGUCACUGAGAGGAAAAUUUAACCUAGAUUUAAUGUAGGUUCAACUUCUGCUGUUGUUUAAAAUAUUUUAUAUAAA